rnacentral:rRNA from 1 species
AUUGAACGCUGGCGGCAGGCCUAACACAUGCAAGUCGAACGAGUGGCGGACGGGUGAGUAAUGUCUGGGAACCUGCCUGAUGGAGGGGGAUAACUACUGGAAACGAUAGCUAAUACCGCUUACUAGUAGAUGGACCUGCGUUGUAUUCGCUAGUGGGUAGGGUAAUGGCCUACCUAGGCGACGAUACAUAGCCGACCUGAGAGGGUGAUCGGCCAAACUGGGACUGAGACACGGUCCAGACUCCGACGGGAGGCAGCAGUGGGGAAUAUUGAACAAUGGGCGCAAGCCUGAUGCAGCCAUGCCGCGUGUAUGAAGAAGGCCUUCGGGUUGUAAAGUACUUUCAGCGGGGAGGCGUUACCCGCAGAAGAAGCACCGGCUAACUCCGUGCCAGCAGCCGCGGUAAUUC